GUGCUCGCUUCAGCAAUACAUAUACUAAAAUUGGAAUGAUACAGAGAAGGUUAGCAUGGCCUCUGUGCAAGGAUGACACAAAUUCAUGAAAUGUUCCGUUUUAAA
ensembl:snRNA U6 U6 spliceosomal RNA